AGAUGUUUAAACCUCAGACAGGAUGGGGCUGGGGCUGGGCCAACAACUUGCUCAACAUUCUUCUGAGUCUGACGGGCUGGUGGAGUGUGAGCGUGGCUCCUAAAUUUCUUGGGUAGGACUGAAGAAGCACUUUUAAGAUGUGGAAACUCAGAGAGGAUGCCACUGUUUUGAACUAUUUUGAAGGCACAGCCACCAGAGCUUUAGGUCAGAAGAGGUCCUUGGAACUGGAAUUACAGGUGGCUGUGAGCCUCCAGGUAGGUGCUGAGAAUCAAGCAGCCUGGCUCCUCUGUAGGAGCUCUAAGGAAUGCUCUUACCUGCUGAGCCAUCUGUCCAGCCCUGAUUGUCCUGGCUGUUAAUUGAGGAAGGAAGACUUACUCUGAGGGAGGGCUGAGCCAGUCCCCAGGCUGCUCCCUGAAUGGUAUGUAGAGGAGGGGAGCCAGCUAAGCACUGACCAGCGAGGGUGUGCACAUUUUCUUUGGUCUUUGUUUUGAAUGUGGUGUGGCUGGCUGCUUCAAUUCCUGACUUGAUUUCCUCAAAAGGAUAGGCUGUAACCCAGAAUGGUAAACUGCCUU
rnacentral:lncRNA from 1 species